UACGUAGGGUGCGAGCGUUGUCCGGAAUUAUUGGGCGUAAAGAGCUCGUAGGCGGUUUGUCGCGUCUGCCGUGAAAGUCCGGGGCUCAACUCCGGAUCUGCGGUGGGUACGGGCAGACUAGAGUGAUGUAGGGGGAGACUGGAAUUCCUGGUGUAGCGGUGAAAUGCGCAGAUAUCAGGAGGAACACCGAUGGCGAAGGCAGGUCUCUGGGCAUUAACUGACGCUGAGGAGCGAAAGCAUGGGGAGCAAACAGG
rnacentral:rRNA from 1 species